rnacentral:rRNA from 1 species
CCUACGGGGGGCUGCAGUGAGGAAUAUUGGUCAAUGGGCGCGAGCCUGAACCAGCCAAGUCGCGUGAGGGAAGACGGUCCUAUGGAUUGUAAACCUCUUUUGUCGGGGAGCAAAAGACGCCACGCGUGGCGUUCCGAGAGUACCCGAAGAAAAAGCAUCGGCUAACUCCGUGCCAGCAGCCGCGGUAAUACGGAGGAUGCGAGCGUUAUCCGGAUUUAUUGGGUAUAAAGGGUGCGCAGGCGGAAGAUCAAGUCAGCGGGAAAAUUGAGAGGCUCAACCUCUUCGAGCCGUUGAAACUGGUUUUCUUGAGUGAGUGAGAAGUAAGCGGAAUGCGUGGGGUAGCGGGGAAAUGCAUAGAGAUCACGCAGAACUCCGAUUGCGAAGGCAGCAUACCGGCGCUCAACUGACGCUCAUGCACGAAAGUGUGGGUAUCGAACAGGAUUAGAUACCCGGGUAGUC